AAUUUUGGACAAUGGGGGAAACCCUGAUCCAGCCAUCCCGCGUGUAUGAUGAAGGCAUGCGGGUUGUAAAGUACUUUUGGUAGAGACGAAAAGGUACCUCCUAAUACGAGGGACUGCUGACGGUCUCUGCAGAUUAUGCAGAGGCUAACCACGUGCCAGCCGCCGUGGUAACACGGAGGGUGCAAGCGUUAAUCGGAAUUACAGGGCGUAAAGCGUGUGUAGGCGGUUCGGAAAGAAAGAUGUGAAAUCCCAGGGCUCAACCUUGGAACUGCAUUUUUAACUGCCGAGCUAGAGUAUGUCAGAGGGGGGUAGAAUUCCACGUGUAGCAGUGAAAUGCGUAGAUAUGUGGAGGAAUACCGAUGGCGAAGGCAGCCCCCUGGGAUAAUACUGACGCUCAGACACGAAAGCGUGGGGAGCAAACAG
rnacentral:rRNA from 1 species